rnacentral:rRNA from 1 species
GCUUGAAGUCGUUGGGCCAACCCUUUGGGAGGCAGACGCCGAGAGGGGGACUGGUGACUGGGACUAAGUCGUAACAAGGUAGCUGUAGCGGAAGCUGCGGCUGGAUCACCUCCUUUCAAGGGAG